CUAAAGGGAUGGUUUUGUAAUUGGGUCAGUGCAAUUAGGGCACGCUUCGAGUAGGUUCUGAAACGCAACACAGUUCUAAGGGGAAGCAUAGCGAGUCUGCGCUCCAACUCUGGAACUCGGUUCUCUUCUCUUCUCAACCACAGUGUUGAGAAUCAGAACCUAUCCAUCUUCUAUCCCCCUAUUUAUAUCGGUGUAUCGGCGCGUGCCGUAGUUUAAACCUAAGUUCUGCUCCGAAUCCACCUUUCUCCGCGUGUGGGUUCUCGUUCGCAAUCUCCGUCACACACUCUUCUCUCCGUACGGAAACGAUUGGCAUCAGAAGAUGUCGGGAGGUUUCUUUCGAGGCACAUCUGCGGACCAGGACACUCGGUUUUCGAACAAGCAAGCGAAGCUGAUGAAAUCACAGAAGUUUGCACCGGAAUUGGAGCAUCUGGUGGACAUGACGAAGGUGAAUAUGGAAGUAAUUAAGCCUUGGGUCACCAGAAGGGUGACCGAGCUUCUUGGUUUCGAGGAUGAAGUGCUUAUUAACUUUAUACACAGUCUUCUGGAUGCUAAGGAAGUGAACGGGAAGGAAGUUCAAAUACAAAUUACUGGAUUUAUGGAAAAGAACACUGGAAAGUUCAUGAAAGAACUUUGGACACUUCUUCUCAGUGCACAGAAAAAUGCCAGUGGUGUUCCUCAGCAAUUCUUGGAUGCCAAGGAAGAAGAACUUUUGAAGAAGAAGGCUGAAAAUGAUCGGAUAACCAGUGAAAUUCAGAGGAAAAAGGAUAAGGAAGGUAGAGAAAUUUUGGAAGAGAGGUUUAAGAAACUGGACGGUGGAUUUGAUUCCAAGGAUAAUGAUACUGCAUCAGCUCCAAAUUCAAAGUUGAAGGAUUCAGGAUAUGAUCGAGAUGGGAAGGAACCUGAAAAGAGGAAUGGUGUCAGGGCAAGGAGCAGGCUUUCCAGGUCCCCACAUUCACCUGCAGUUUCUACUUCACCUCAUCGAGGCUCACCCUCAAGGUCAAUGAGCAAAUCAUUUUCAAAUUCCCGAAGUUAUUCAGGUGGUAGACACAGGUCAAAGAGUAUGUCUAGGUCUCCAGCAGCUCGAGGACGCUCUCUUUCUCAUGAAAAGAUUCAUCAUUCUCCACGAAGACGAUCUAUUUCUCCUCACAGGCAUUCACCACGACGUUCUCCUCAUAGGAGGUCACUUUAUUUGAGGAGAAGAUCCAGAUCUCGCUCAAGUUAUAGAUCUCCUUCUCCUAUACGACGUAGAAUUCAUUCCCCCGUGCAUCGAAGUUCACCUUCUUAUCGACGUAGAAGGUCACCUUCACCAAUGCGUCGACGGAGGUCACCUUCACCGGUGCGACGACGAAGAUCACCUUCUCCAAUGCGACGGCGUUGGUCACCUUCUCCAGUGCGACGACGUAGGUCACCUUCUCCUGCAAGAAGACAUAGAUCUCCUUUGGUGCGACGUCGUAGAUCACCGUCUCCUGGUCGUCGUUAUAGAUCGCCAUCUCCUGGUCGUCGUCAUAGAUCACCAUCCCUAGGGCACAAACAUAGAUCCCCAUCACCUCUUGGAAUGCGGAGAUCACCAGGUCAUAGACAUAGAUCACCAUCACCUCUUGGACCACGAAGAUCACCUUCACCUAGACGACGAAGAUCACCUAUCACUCGACAUAGAUCACCUUCUCCAGUGCGUCGGGUUCAACCAAUCAGUGCUCGGAAUAGAUCAGAGUCUCCCAUGCAAUCCCCCUCCCCCAUACAACGAAGGUAUGGUAGUAGAACUCCUCCACACUCACCAUCCCCAUUACAACGCAGAUCACCUAUUCCUAGCAAGAAUAGAUCUCCAAGUAUCUCCCCUCAGAAGUCUCCUCGAGAUGAAUGGAGUUCUCAGUCUCCAAUACAACAUGUAUCAACCUCUCCAAAUAGGAAAAGUUCUCAAAGACAACAAAGAAGUCCCAUGCAGUCUUCUAUAAAGAGAGUCAGGAGUAGUCCUGUGGGGUCUGUACGAAGAGGCAAAGCUUUGAACUAUAAAUCACAAGAGUCAAUGUCCACUCCAGAGAAAUCUCCAAAUCGAUCUGUAUCUGCAGAAGCAAGAAGUGAGACCAGCAGUGAAGGUAGAAGUCCUCAUGGGAACACGAUGAAACAAAGAGAAAAGUUAUCCAAUAAAAGAAGCUUGAGUCCUUUAAAGAAACAAAGAACCCAGAAACCUAGCCAUGAAAGCCCACAGACUAGAGAUGAAGCAGAGGAAACAUACUAUUCCAGAGAAAGGAGAGAUCCUAAAGUAAACUUAUCACAAAAGAUAGUAAGACACUCCCCAGCUAGUACGAGAAAAGGUUCACCUGCAAAAUAUGGUCAUGAGGAUGAGUUCUCUCCUGAAAGGGAUGCAGGUCAUCCAGCUUCUGAGCAUAACAAUGAUUGGAAUAAGAAAGGCCGGGAGAUAAAACGGGAUAAGUCUUCUGGAAAAGGCAAUGAAUUUCUUUCUCAACAAAAGCCCUCAGUUAACAAGGAAACUUUUUCAAGGGAGAAGCCUCGUGAAUCAUAUGCUGUAGAUAUUAAAAAAUCAGAUGACAAGGACCAAUCCCGUUCAAAUUAUUCCAAAAGUAGUGAUCGGCACCACAAAUCCGAAGCCACUCCAGAAUUAGGUGGAAGAGAUGAUAUUGGCAAUCAGAGUGCCUCACAUGAUUCUGUUUCUGAGGAAAGUGGUAAACAUAGACGAGAGGGAAAGGACAGGAAAAGGCAUAAAAGGUCUGAGAAAAAAUAUGCGUCUUCUGAUGAGGAUUAUAGUUAUGAUUCUGAGGUAGAGGACAGGAAAGAGGCUAAGAAGAGGAGAAAGGAGGAGAAGAAGUUGCGGAAAGAGGAUAAGCGUCGAAGACGGGAAGAGAAGCGUCGCAGAAGGGAAGAACGGCGUGCAGAGAAGCUGAAGCUGAAGAGUAAAACAGACAAUAUUUCAGAUGACGAGGAAGCUGAACGAGAUUAUCAUCAAAGUGAUGGUGAAGAGACACCAUCUGAGCAAAAGAAGCUUGAGAUUGAAUUGCGGAAUAAGGCUCUUGAAUCCCUCAAAGCAAAGAGGGGCAUGAAUAAUUAAUGCAUCACUUCUGAGUUUUUAAGUUGUUUUAUGCUUUAAAAACUUGAGAAAUAUCUUAGUUUGUUUAGGAACUUCCCAUUUACAAAUGUUAUGUUUGUUUAUUUUUUGGUAACUGUUUGAUGUUAUUUAUCUUUAAUGCUGGCAGCGGAAAUGGAUAAAUGACGCUUACUGAGCAAAUCUGUUGAGUACAACUCUAUGCAGACAUUGCCCUAUAUUUACUGAUGAAUUUUAUGUCAACUCUAGAUGACUCGGUGAGAAGACCAUGUGCAGAUCUUUAUUUUGAACUUCAAUUCAGGUGAAGUAUUCAUUCUUUUAGCCAUUUUUCUAGUUCUAGAAGAGCUUUAUAGGUAAAUCUGUUGUAUAUAACACAGGUGGUUCUUUACCGCUGUAUAUUUUUCAUGAUUAACGUUGGCAUAUCAGGAGUUGUUCCUGGGUGGUUUCCCAGAAUUAUUCCUUGACGUAUUUGUUGGGUCCAUUGAGUUUGAUGUAGCUGUAUGAUUUGUUGUACAAAUGUGUGGUCGUUUACCUACUUUGAUUGUGUGCAAGAAGUUGGCGAUA